CUAAGCAGGGCUGUCAGUAAAGUCUUAGAGGGGUGGUGGGCUGGGUGAGACUUUUAGCAAUUUGUUAACAAAAAAUUAGCUAAAUUCUUCUUACCCAUUUUCCCCCGCAAAGUGAGUCAGCGUUUAUGUCCCUUCUGUUCUUGGAAAUAUCCGUCUGUCUUUAGAUUUUAAGUUAGAUGAUUGGCCUGUGACCCCAGUUUCUGGACACCAUCGGCACCACCACUCUGCCAAUCUUGGAGUCUCAAAAUGUGGAGCCAUUCUUGACGCUGACCUCGCUCAUCCUUCAUAUUCAAUCAGUCAACAAGUCAGUCCAGUGUCUACCAUAUCCUUCACUUCUAUCUCCUCCUUU
rnacentral:lncRNA from 1 species